CCUACGGGUGACAGCAGUGGGGGAUAUUGCACAAUGGGGGAAACCCUGAUGCAGCGACGCCGCGUGUAGGAAGACGGUCCUCUGUAUUGUAAACUACUGUCCCCAGGGACGAAGAUGACGGUACCUGGGGAGGAAGCUCCGGCAAACAACGUGCCAGCCGCCGCGGAAAUACGUAGGGAGCGAGCGUUGUCCGGAAUUACUGGGUGAAAAGGGAGCGUAGGCGGGGAUGCAAGUUGGGGGUUAAAUCUACCGGCUAAACUGGUAAUCGCACUCAAAACUGCAGCUCUUGAGUGAAGUAGAGGCAGGCGGAAUUCCUAGUGUAGCGGUGAAAUGCGUAGAUAUUAGGAGGAACACCAGUGGCGAAGGCGGCCUGCUGGGCUUUUACUGACGCUGAGGCUCGAAAGUGUGGGGAGCAAACAGGAUUGGAUACCCGGGUAGUC
rnacentral:rRNA from 1 species